rnacentral:rRNA from 1 species
UACAGAGGGGGCAAGCGUUGUUCGGAAUUACUGGGCGUAAAGGGCGCGUAGGCGGCCUGUUAAGUCGAACGUGAAAUCCCCGGGCUCAACCCGGGAACUGCGUCCGAUACUGGCAGGCUUGAAUCCGGGAGAGGGAUGCGGAAUUCCAGGUGUAGCGGUGAAAUGCGUAGAUAUCUGGAGGAACACCGGUGGCGAAAGCGUUCUGCUAGACCUGUACUGACACUGAGGGACGAAAGCUAGGGGAGCGAAUGGG